AUGAACGCUGGCGGCGUGCUUAACACAUGCAAGUCGAACGAGAAGUGAAGACGGAAACCUUCGGGCGGAAGGCUUUAUUUCGAGUGGCGGACGGGUGAGUAACGCGUGGGUAACCUGCCUCAUACAGGGGGAUAACAGUUGGAAACGACUGUUAAUACCGCAUAAGACCACAGCACCGCAUGGUGCGGGGGUAAAAACUCCGGUGGUAUGAGAUGGACCCGCGUUCGAUUAGCCAGUUGGCGGGGUAACGGCCCACCAAAGCGACGAUCGAUAGCCGAUCUGAGAGGAUGACCGGCGACAUUGGGACUGGGACACGGCCCAAACGCCUACGGGAGGCAGCAGUGGGGAAUAUUGCACAAGGGGGGAAACCCUGAUGCGGCGACGCCGCGUGAGUGAAGAAGUAUUUCGGUAUGUAAAGCUCUAUCAGCAGGGAAGAAAAGGACGGAACCGGAGUAAGAAGCCCCGGCUAACUACGU
rnacentral:rRNA from 1 species